rnacentral:rRNA from 1 species
AGGGAAUCUUCCGCAAUGGACGAAAGUCUGACGGAGCAACGCCGCGUGAGUGAUGAAGGUUUUCGGAUCGUAAAACUCUGUUGUUAGGGAAGAACAAGUUGGGUAGUAACUGACCCAACCUUGACGGUACCUAACCAGAAAGCCACGGCUAACUACGUGCCAGCAGCCGCGGUAAUACGUGGGUGGCAAGCGUUGUCCGGAAUUAUUGGGCGUAAAGCGCUCGCAGGCGGUCUUUUAAGUCUGAUGUGAAAGCCCACGGCUUAACCGUGGAGGGUCAUUGGAAACUGGAGGACUUGAGUACAGAAGAGGAGAGUGGAAUUCCACGUGUAGCGGUGAAAUGCGUAGAGAUGUGGAGGAACACCAGUGGCGAAGGCGACUCUCUGGUCUGUAACUGACGCUGAGGAGCGAAAGCGUGGGUAGCGAACA